rnacentral:rRNA from 1 species
UACGUAGGGUGCGAGCGUUAAUUGGAAUUACUGGGCGUAAAGCGUGCGCAGGCGGUUCGUUGUGUCGGUGGUGAAAUCCCCGGGCUUAACCUGGGAAUGGCCAUGGAAACUGGCGAACUGGAGUGCGGCAGAGGGGGUGGAAUUCCGCGUGUAGCAGUGAAAUGCGUAGAGAUGCGGAGGAACACCGAUGGCGAAGGCAGCCCCCUGGGCUGAGAUUGACGCUCAGGCACGAAAGCGUGGGGAGCAAACAGG